CGAUAUCCGUUGCAGUACGACGGACUUGAGGAGCGCUCUCGCUUGCUGCCGGCGGCAACUGCAGCGAUGCGAGCCGCGGCAGGAGGCCGCGCGGUGUUCCACCUCCAGCACCUCCGCCCGCGCCCUCCAUGCCGAGCUUCUCCUGCUCCCGCCACCGCGGUCCUCCCCCACUCCGCGCCCGCGAGCCGCGCCUACCACCGCCGCCUCCCCAAAGGCUUUUUACCUACUCUGGAGCCGGGGGUUUCAGCAGUCUACUUGUGUCGGCGAGUACACUCCACAACAUGUAGUGUUUCAUUGGAUGGCAGAUUACAGGGAGAGUUAGAUGGUGCAAAGGGAGAAGUGCGAAAACAUGAAACAGUUGGUGCAUUUCAAAAAAUACCAAUGGUGAUGCCUGCAACCGAUAUACUUAUGUCAGCACAAAGGAAAUCAAGAAAUGUGCCACCGACAAAGGGCAUAGCAAAUAUCGCUAAGCGCGAAAGGAACAAAGGUGCGAAACAACUUGAUGCCUUAAUGAAAGAACUUUCAGUACCACUGAGAACAUACACAGAAAACUUCCCUAAGAGGAGAGAUUUGCAUCCUUAUGAGAGGUCUCUCAUUGAGUUGACUUUUGGGGAGGGUUAUUAUGAGCAGGUUCUAGGACGAGUCGAUGCUCUCAGGAAAAGGAUUACUUCUGUUGGAAAGCAACAUGCUUCAGUGUGUGCUAAGUCAACAACAAAACGUGAAGCAGAGGAGCGCCUCGCUGAGGGCAAAAAGAGACUUGAAGAAGCUUUCCAGCAUGGACAGCAUGCCAUUGAUGAUUUAGUAAAUGUAGCAAAGGCUUUGCGUUCUAUGCCUGUUGUUGAUCUACAUAUACCGACACUAUGUCUAGUUGGAUCGCCCAAUGUGGGAAAGUCAUCAUUAGUCCGCAUAUUAUCAUCUGGAAAGCCUGAGGUCUGCAGCUAUCCAUUCACGACAAGAGGGAUUCUAAUGGGUCACAUUGUAUCCAAUCAUGAGCGUUUUCAGGUUACGGACACUCCAGGACUACUUACGAGGCAUGAUGAUGACAGAAAUAACAUAGAGAGAUUGACACUUGCUGUCCUGUCUUAUCUACCAAUCGCUGUCCUGUAUGUUCACGAUCUAUCCGAAGACUGUGGAACCUCAGUAGCCGAUCAGUACACAACGUACAAGCAUAUGAAGGAAAGGUUUGGUGAUCGCCUAUGGAUCGAUGUUAUAUCCAAAUGCGAUCUUUUGGGCAAGAAAGCGCCUAUAAGCUUUGACGACGCUGAUGAAGAUGUGACACAAUACAGAAAAUUCGGUCCAGAAGGUGCCCUCCGGGUAUCUGUGCAGAGCGAAAUCGGCGUUAAAGAGCUAAAAGAAAGAGUGCACCAGCUCCUGACCUCCCAAAUGGCUCGGAUCAAAGCUGACAAGGCGGAGCAUGAAACACAGGAAGCUGGCGUUAGUGUUCCUUGGCGAAGUUAGAGAAUGAAUACUUGCGCACGUUCGAUGUUUAUGUAAAUUUUCCACUCAUGAGGACCGCAACUAAUUUCAGGGAGUUGUUCCUUUCAAGACCAGAUUUGAUCUCCGUGAGCUCGUUUUUCAAACCAAGCAAAAUUUUGACUUGCUCCUCAAGUUGAGCAUUCCUUGCCUCGAGCUGCAUUACCCUACCACUCUGGACUAGCAUGCUUUUUUGUCUAGCCAUGGCCUUCUCCCUAGCAACUUUCUCAAUGAUUACAGACUACAGAAUCAAAGCACCCA